CACUGGAUCUGCAUGGCCUCCAGCAACCGGCACAUGUGUGAGGAACGCAAGCGUGCCCCGACUGUCAAAAUCGUCAUAGCCAAAGCUGUGCCUCACUCGUGGGCUUUCGCAAUAAGAUUUCGAAGGGUCUGGGCGUAUACAGACAAGAAGCAAGCAGCAAACGAGAGACUGGAAUGGAAGCCGCAAACAAGAAAGUUGCUGCAGCCCAUAUAGGGCUCCAGUGAUGAACAUGGCUGCCCAGGAAAACAUAUCUUUGUGUUGAAGCCGGUCUGUGCAUAUUUUAAUGAAGACUAUGAGGUCUGCACCUCGUUCCACACUCACAAAGCUGGCCAGACAGCUGUGGAGUGAGGGCCCCCAACACCAUGCCUCUGCUAUUGGGUCAUCACUACUACACUUCUCAGGCAUUGUUCUUCCCUUGGACAAUGACAAAACGCUAACUGCAAGGAGCGUGGAGAAAGGAUUGGCGCUUCAGCUCGGAGUGUAUUUCAACUACGAUGUGCAGUGCCCGCCACGAUGUGCAGUGCCUGCCACCAACGUUUCUUAUGUUACAAUCCAUGCAAUGGUAUGCGUUCUCAUGUAUUACACUCAUCGUAUCAUAAAUCGUUAUCACGUAGUCGACAACUACUCCGCUGUAUUCGUCCUUGUAUUGUUCAUUCUUACCGUGGGGUGAGAAUAAGUUUCACGGUCAUGUGUUUCAAAUGUUUCUUUCUUUUUUUUUUGUCUUUCUAUUCCUUGGUUUCACAGAUACCGAAAAACCUGCUGCUGCUCUAGGCAACGUGGUGUUAUUGGCAAACUUGGUUGUGAUACAUUGACUUGUGGACAGCUAGGUUUGCAAAUUUUAUUGUGCCAGUUCCUGGUGGCAGAAGAAAAUUAGUGGCCUUCUCUAAUUCAUGAACAGAUGGCCGACCUGCACAUGAAGCUUUGAAGGCAGUUCAGCACCUGAGAUGCUAUAGCAUGAAAAAUUAUGAUUGUUGAAAAAUGCCCUCCUUUUUAUUUCACAGCUAUUUUGGACACAUCAGCACUGAAAGAGGAACAAAGCACCCCAAUGGUAAUCAAGCUUAAGUAGCAUACCUGUUUGCGUUCUGUCACUCAUCUGCGAACUGGGGUAAAGUUGAAAGGAGCCAUUCCAAGCUGCUGUGCUGGAGAAAGCUACUGCACUGUACAUUUCAGUGAAUAUAUUGCUUUAUGAACACAUAA